CUCGUAGGCGGCCUGUCGCGUCUGGUGUGAAAGCCCGUGGCUUAACUGCGGGUCUGCGCUGGAUACGGGCGGGCUAGAGUGCGGUAGGGGAGAAUGGAAUUCCCGGUGUAACGGCGGAAUGUGUAGAUAUCGGGAAGAACACCAAUGGCGAAGGCAGUUCUCUGGGCCGUGACUGACGCUGAGGAGCGAAAGCGUGGGGAGCGAACAGGAUUAGAUACCCCCGUA
rnacentral:rRNA from 1 species